rnacentral:lncRNA from 1 species
GCAGCUUUCUGAGCUCAUUCUCAUUGUUAUAGAAAGAGAAAAAUCUGAUAUUGGAGGAAAAAAUUACGACCCUGCAACAGGAAAAUGAGGACCUCCAUGUCCGAAGCCGCAACCAGGUGGUCCUGUCAAGGCAGCUCUCAGAAGACCUGCUUCUCACGCGUGAGGCCCUGGAGAAGGAGGUGCAGCUGCGGCGACAGCUCCAGCAGGAGAAGGAGGAGCUGUUGUACCGGGUCCUUGGGGCCAAUGCCUCGCCUGCCUUCCCUCUGGCCCCUGUCACUCCCACUGAGGUCUCCUUCCUCGCCACAUAGGGUGCAGGGCCUGGGCCCACCACGAUGCCUGAAGUCACAGCUCCUUCCAAGGUUUUUCUGGAGAAGACAGCAGGAGCCUCUCAGUUCUUUUCCAGGAAGGAACGAGGGUGGGAGCGAGAUGGGGAUCCUGGGUGUGUGCCCAGUGAGCCCUGGGGCCUUGAGUUACAUGGAAUCACCCACAGGGUUUUGGAGGCCCCGAGAAGCAUCUUCCCUUGAGUUGGCCAAGGGAAUAAGCAAGAGGAGACAUUUCCUCCCUCCCCCGGCACUCUGUCCCAAUCCGAGAAGUUCCGAGGCUUUCCCAGGGGCAGUCUGUGUCACGUUGGCCAUUUGACAUAAAGGAGACAGCCCCUGGUCCCAGCUUGUCAGCUCUGCUGCCAACUUGCUGACUUGUCAACUUCCUCUAGGUGUUUCCACUCCACCCUGGCCUGCUCAGAGCCUCAGUUUACCCCUGCAUUAAAAUGGUGGGGGGACUGGUCAAAGGACUCUUAUGUCACUGCAGUGUCCCAUUCUAGGAUUGUCUGAAGGCCAGAGUAGGGGUUGGGGGGAGUGUGGACAAACCCUGCAAAUCAGAGUGGGGAAGGUGAGUGGUGGAGAGGGGGUCUCUGAAGGCCCUUGGGGCUGACAGGGCCAGGCAGCCUCCCCAGCUGAGGCAUCAUUCCUGGUCCAGAGUCGUGUCCACCAAGGGACAGUAGCCAGAGCUC